rnacentral:rRNA from 1 species
ACGCGAUUGGGUCGGCCGAUGUCCGAUUAGCUAGUUGGCGGGGUAAAGGCCCACCAAGGCGAUGAUCGGUAGCUGGUCUGAGAGGAUGAUCAGCCACACUGGGACUGAGACACGGCCCAG